CUGUGUCUUUGUUCCCAGGUUUGAACCCCGGGCCCCUCUGUACCAGAGGUUGCUUUGGCCGUGGUGCCUCAUUACAUCAAUAGAAGCCUAAUGAAGACACAAAUGGUCAGCGCUAAACACAGGUCCAGAAUAACUUGUUGGAAAUCCACUUACCUGGAGAACUCUACUGUGUGUCACAAUAUCCAGUUCCUGGAAAGUGUUGACUAACCCCAGGACAACCAGAGCUGCCACCAGAGCCCCGGCCUGUGCUGCUCAGAGUUUCUGAAGAUCACCCCAUGGAUGAGAUGACUAUGUGGUUAUAAAAUUGCUGCUGACUUUUGGGCAUAAAUAUAAGAAAAUAAAAUCAACAUAUCAAGAA